GGCGAGUGAAGCGGCAACAGCUCAAAUUUGAAAUCUGGCCUCUUCGGGGUCCGAGUUGUAAUUUGUAGAGGGUGUUUCGGGCGCGAUGCCGGUCUAAGUUCCUUGGAACAGGACGUCGUAGAGGGUGAGAAUCCCGUAUGCGACCGGCGAUCAAGCCCAUGUGAAGCCCCUUCGACGAGUCGAGUUGUUUGGGAAUGCAGCUCCAAAUGGGUGGUAAAUUUCAUCUAAAGCUAAAUAUUGGCCAGAGACCGAUAGCGGACAAGUAGAGUGAUCGAAAGAUGAAAAGCACUUUGGAAAGAGAGUCAAACAGUACGUGAAAUUGUUGAAAGGGAAGCGCUUGCAAUCAGACCGGUCCGGAGGCGAUCAGCCGCUGCUCGUUCAGCGGUGCACUCGCCUGCGAUCCGGCCAGCAUCGGUUUGGGCGGCGGGAUAAAAGGCCCGGGAAUGUAGCUUCUCUCGGGGAGUCUUAUAGCCCGGGUCGCAAUGCCGCCCGCCUGGACCGAGGACCGCGCUU
rnacentral:rRNA from 1 species